rnacentral:rRNA from 1 species
UACAGAGGGUGCGAGCGUUAAUCGGAAUUACUGGGCGUAAAGCGUGCGUAGACGGUUAUUUAAGUCGGGUGUGAAAGCCCCGGGCUCAACCUGGGAAUGGCCGUUGAAACUGGCGAACUGGAGUGUGGCAGAGGGGGGUGGAAUUCCGCGUGUAGCAGUGAAAUGCGUAGAGAUGCGGAGGAACACCGAUGGCGAAGGCAGCCCCCUGGGCUGACACUGACGCUCAGGCACGAAAGCGUGGGGAGCAAACAGG